rnacentral:rRNA from 1 species
GACGAACGCUGGCGGCGUGCCUAAUACAUGCAAAUCGAGCGAUGAUUAAAGAUAGCUUGCUAUUUUUAUGAAGAGCGGCGAACGGGUGAGUAACGCGUGGGAAAUCUGCCGAGUAGCGGGGGACAACGUUUGGAAACGAACGCUAAUACCGCAUAACAAUGAGAAUCGCAUGAUUCUUAUUUAAAAGAAGCAAUUGCUUCACUACUUGAUGAUCCCGCGUUGUAUUAGCUAGUUGGUAGUGUAAAGGACUACCAAGGCGAUGAUACAUAGCCGACCUGAGAGGGUGAUCGGCCACACUGGGACUGAGACACGGCCCAGACUCCUACGGGAGGCAGCAGUAGGGAAUCUUCGGCAAUGGGGGCAACCCUGACCGAGCAACGCCGCGUGAGUGAAGAAGGUUUUCGGAUCGUAAAACUCUGUUGUUAGAGAAGAACGUUAAGUAGAGUGGAAAAUUACUUAAGUGACGGUAUCUAACCAGAAAGGGACGGCUAACUACGUGCCAGCCGCCGCGGUAA